rnacentral:rRNA from 1 species
UACGUAGGGGGCAAGCGUUGUCCGGAUUUAUUGGGCGUAAAGAGCGUGUAGGCGGCCAGACAGGUCCGUUGUGAAAACUCGAGGCUCAACCUCGAGAUGUCGAUGGAAACCGUCUGGCUAGAGUCCGGAAGAGGAGUGUGGAAUUCCUGGUGUAGCGGUGAAAUGCGCAGAUAUCAGGAAGAACACCUAUGGCGAAGGCAGCACUCUGGGACGUGACUGACGCUGAGACGCGAAAGCGUGGGGAGCAAACAGG